UACGGAGGGUGCAAGCGUUACCCGGAAUCACUGGGCGUAAAGGGCGUGUAGGCGGAUCACUCAGUCUGGUUUUAAAGACCGGGGCUCAACCCCGGGCAUGGACUGGAUACUGGUGAUCUUGACCUCUGGGAGAGGUAGCUGGAAUUCCUGGUGUAGCGGUGGAAUGCGUAGAUACCAGGAGGAACACCAAUGGGCGAAGGCAGGCUACU
rnacentral:rRNA from 1 species